rnacentral:rRNA from 1 species
AUGCUGAGCUCUCCAUUCUUCCCUCAAGGCUGGACAAAGAAGGCGGAGCGGAUUCGAUGUCCGGCUCCGUUACCCGAAGACCCAGCCAUUCCCUUGCUAACGAAGAUGCUGAUCCCAGUGCCGUACGAGGCACCGGAGAAGAAGGCCAAGAAGAAGGGCAAGGAGGCCAAAAGUGGCCUUCGCCGUAAAGGUGCUUCGGAUGUGGUGUCCGAAGAUACCGAAGUUCUCUCCUCCCAUGAAGGAGAUGAGGAUCAGCAUGCCGAGACCAUCCCCCCAUGGCGCCCCAGGGCGAAGCCCCUAGCCAAAUCGUAA